UAGGGAAUCUUCCACAAUGGACGAAAGUCUGAUGGAGCAACGCCGCGUGAGUGAAGAAGGGUUUCGGCUCGUAAAACUCUGUUGUUAAAGAAGAACAUAUCUGAGAGUAACUGUUCAGGUAUUGACGGUAUUUAAUCAGAAAGCCACGGCUAACUACGUGCCAG
rnacentral:rRNA from 1 species